rnacentral:rRNA from 1 species
AACGAACGCUGGCGGCAUGCCUAACACAUGCAAGUCGAACGAGACCUUCGGGUCUAGUGGCGCACGGGUGCGUAACGCGUGGGAACCUGCCCUUAGGUUCGGAAUAACUCCCCGAAAGGGGUGCUAAUACCGGAUAAUGUCUUCGGACCAAAGAUUUAUCGCCCUUGGAUGGGCCCGCGUUGGAUUAGCUAGUUGGUAGGGUAAAAGCCUACCAAGGCGACGAUCCAUAGCUGGUCUGAGAGGAUGAUCAGCCACACUGGGACUGAGACACGGCCCAGACUCCUACGGGAGGCAGCAGUGGGGAAUAUUGGACAAUGGGCGGAAGCCUGAUCCAGCAAUGCCGCGUGAGUGAUGAAGGCCUUAGGGUUGUAAAGCUCUUUUACCCGGGAUGAUAAUGACAGUACCGGGAGAAUAAGCACCGGCUAACUCCGUG